GUCUCCGGCCAUGCCACUCCAAACAUGCUUGAUCUCGUCUGACCUCGGAAGCUGAGCAGAGUCAGGCCUGGUUAGUACUUGGAUGGGGGAAUACUAAGAAUGUAUGAAACC
rnacentral:rRNA from 1 species